rnacentral:tRNA from 1 species
AAGGAAUUAGUUAAAUUAUAACAUUAAAUUGUCAAACUAAAAUUACCUUAUUUAAGGUAUUCCUUG